CCGGCUCGUCGCCGGCACCUGCAGCGGCGUUGGCGACCGUGAUCGACCAAGACGCCAUGGCCUCCGUCAACCUCGUCAGGUCCGG
rnacentral:SRP_RNA from 17 species